UACGUAGGCAGCGAGCGUUGUUCGGAAUUCCUGGGCGUAAAGAGUGUGUAGGCGGUGCUCUAAGUUCGGUGUGAAAUCUCCUGGCUUAACUGGGAGGGUGCGCCGGAAACUGGAGUGCUCGAGCGUGGGAGAGGAAAGCGGAAUUCCUGGUGUAGCGGUGAAAUGCGUAGAUAUCGGGAGGAACACCAGUGGCGAAGGCGGUUACCUGGAGCUUUGCUGACGCUGAUGCGCGAAAGCGUGGGGAGCGAUCCGG
rnacentral:rRNA from 1 species